rnacentral:lncRNA from 14 species
AACUGAAAUGCACGUGUCACUUUGCCAGAUGACAUGUGCCUUAGAAUAUUGACAUCACAAUGGUCCUUCAGCCUGACAACUACAGAAUCCUGAGACUUCAGUAGUUUUCUAGCCACUGUAGUCACCAGUUUGGUGUCUAGAGGCAGGAGGGCAAACGAAAAUUUCACAUUGUUUGAUAAGUUCUUCAUCGCAGGCUCUACUAAAAAGGUGGAGCUCUGCAUCAGGAGAAUUGGUUUUUUUUUCAAUAUGGAUACGACUAAGGAGGAAGAUGUAGGAGAAGAAAAUCGAACCGUGGUUUGCCAAGGUGCUGCGGUUAUCCAAAGAGGCUGGAAAAGAAAGAAACAAUAUCUGACCUUGUUCAAUGACAUUUUGGUGGUAUCCAGUAAACUAAAUAAGAAAUUUAAGAUAAAACAUGUCAUUCCAUUGGCUUACCUGUGGAUUGGUGAUGAAGUGGACGCAUUCAGGUCAGACAACACUGCUGCUUCCAAGUCCAUUUACCUAUACUGGCCGAUGGGACAUGUUGUUGCCACCUUUCGUUCCAUGGAACAGACCAUUUGGUGGUAUUUCUUUCUACAAAGAUCCAUUCGUGAAGCCAAGAAACACAACAAAAUGGGACUUCCCAUGCAGAUAUUCACUGAGGACAUUGCAGGCUGUGACACUCCUCUGUAUGUAACAGCAACAAACUUUGAUGUGGUAAAUGACAUAAUCAGCAAGUUACUACCAAUGAUAAGAAAGCAUAACAUUGAAGAUUACCAACUGUGGUUCUGUCCUGGCCCUGGGAAAGCUCCAAGAGUACUCCAAGGGCAUGAGUAUCCACAUGACAUUAGAAUGAUAAAUAUUCAAAAGAACUUCAGUUCACGGGACUUAAGAAAUUUUACAGCUUUCUGUUCCCUACAUGGGGUAAUCAUGAAAUACCUAAAUGCUGAUGUACAUGGGAAAUUCAUCUUGAAGCCCAGAAACUCAGCAAGAAGCCAGCAGCAAAAAAAUAUGAAGGAAAAAACUUUUAAGAAACAAAGAACUUCUAUGACGUCGCAGUUGGACAGGGGCUCUGUGCCCCACCAGGACCAAGUAUGCACCACCCCACCAGUUAAAAAGGGAAGAAAACUGUUUGGAAGAGAACUCAGUUCCAUUUGUCAGGAUGGCAUCCUGCCCGCAGCAAUUCUGGACAUGCUGUACCUACUAAAAAAGAAAGGGCUCACAACCACGGGUGUCUUUUUAGAACCUCCGAGUAUAACUUUGUGCCAAACAGUAAAGGACAAAUUGGAUUCGGAAGAGGAGGUGGAUAUAAACAAGCAAUCAGUUAAUGUAAUGGCGUGGAUCUUUAAGGACUUCCUCCAAAACCUCAAGGGAAGUCUAAUGGCUUCAAAACUAUAUGAUGAGUGGAUUGCUGUACCCGAAAAGGUCAAUGAUGAAGAGAAAUUAGCUGCAGUGCAGAGGAUAUGUUAUCCAUAAUUGCAGAGAAAGGACCAGAAUCAGAUCACAUAUUCGAAAUUCUGCCUUAAGAAUCACACUGGUCCCUGAGGUGUAGGCUUGACAGUGAACAACACAGUGACUGGAGUGAAGAAUACAUGCUUAUAACAGCAUCUGUCUUAAAGGUAAGGAAGGUUUUUACAUCACCAACAUUAACAUCCCUCUAGAGAUGCAUAUGUCCUUUCUGUCCUUGAGAUUACAUGAUGAUGUCUGUUUCCUGGAGCUAUGGACACAUGACAUCUUGAUAAGAGGCAUAACAUCUAAAAGUCUGACAACCUCAAAGACUCAUCACAAAGACACAGGUGAAGAGCUUCUGUUGAAAGUUAACAUCCUCAUAUAUCAGAUGGGCUUUAGUUUGGCGUUAAAAAAGUUUCUCCUGAUUUCACCUCUGACCAUACCAUGUGAAGUAAUAGUGGAACAAGUUACAAUAGUGGUAAAAGUGUGUUUCACAAAACACGUUUCAAUAACACUUACCAAAAAAUGUCCUUCAGAAAUAACAGCUCAAAAUGGCUAGUCCACCACUGAUCAAGAAUUGGUGUAAACAGG